rnacentral:rRNA from 1 species
AUUGAACGCUGGCGGCAUGCUUUACACAUGCAAGUCGAACGGUAACAGGCCUUCGGGUGCUGACGAGUGGCGAACGGGUGAGUAAUGCAUCGGAACGUACCCAGAGGUGGGGGAUAACGCAGCGAAAGCUGUGCUAAUACCGCAUGUGAUCUGAGGAUGACAGCGGGGGACCGAGCAGCAAUGUUUGGCCUCGCGCCUUUGGAGCGGCCGAUGUCGGAUUAGCUAGUUGGUGGGGUAAAGGCCUACCAAGGCGACGAUCCGUAGCUGGUCUGAGAGGACGACCAGCCACACUGGGACUGAGACACGGCCCAGACGCCUACGGGAGGCAGCAGUGAGGAAUUUUGGACAAUGGGCGCAAGCCUGAUCCAGCAAUGCCGCGUGAGGGAAGAAGGCCUUCGGGUUGUAAACCGCUUUUGGCAGGAACGAAACGGUGUCCGCUAAUACCGGGCGCUAAUGACGGUACCUGCAGAAUAAGCAACGGCUAACUACGUG